CAGUUUCUCAGUCAUUCAACCCAUAAUCAAUAAAACAGUAAAAUAUGCACAUGAAACUAUGAAAUGAAAACAUCAGACCUCAUACUGCAUUUAAAACUAUAAAAUAGGCCAAAUAACAGCUAACCGACAAACACACUAGACUCGGGCUCCAUUAGCGACCUUAAGCAAUUUCACACAUUCGUUGAUUCAAGAAAUACCGUUUUAUCAUUAUUGAACUUUAAUGCCGUGAUAGGAAAUAGGGUGAGGGGUCCUUACUCGUUUCGGGGUCCGAACACGGCUUCACAGUGCGCCUACAGGCUGUCCCUAAUUUUCUCUGAAUUUUUCCCGGGGAACUGAAACGCACUACUGGUACCUGCACGUGUUCCAAAAAAUCCCAAAUUAGGCCCAGGGCCCCUUUCGGCCAAUAUCGCAAUUCCGGCACGGCGGCUCUGCCGUGCUCCGGCGACGGCGCCGCCGCAAACGGUGGCGAUUUGCCUCGGGUUGGCCAUUUUCGGCGGAAUUCGGCCACACUUGCAUCGGUCCCUGUGAUAAAACAACCCUAGGGCCCUCGGGGGGCCAAAAAAUUAUGAGAAACUGAAGCUUACCGGCGACGGUGCUCUCGGGUGCGACGGCUCUUCGGUGAGGUUCGUGUUUUGGUGAUUCGGCUCCGAUCAACCUAUAGAGAAAAGAAUGGUGAUCACGGUGAUAUAAAAAUUGCAUCAAAUAGAGGCCGGGAAUGGCCUCAUCGAAGGCAAAAACUGAGGAGAGGCGCGGCGGUGCCGUUGGGUUUCGGCCGUGUUUUCCGGCCGUUUAGCUGGGAUUUUGGCUCCGAUUUGGCCACAGGGGAAAUCAGCGUAGAAAAACGAGUCGGGGGUAUGAAAUUUACCUCGAUCGGCGGUCGAAAAUCUCCCUAGUGCGGCGGCGGGUGGCGGCGGUCGGCUCCUCCGGCGUCUGGUUCGUCUUCUCCGGCGAGGGCAGGCGGCUAGGGUUUUUGUGGUCAGGUGUGGGGGUUCUAUUUAUACCCUUUUGCCUUUUGAUCUCAGCCGUCUAUUUUGAUUUAAUCUGGGCCGUCCGUUUUUGAUUGAAUCUGGGCCGUCCGUGCGAUUGCAUCUGGGCUGUCCGUGCGCACGCUUGAUUUGGGCCGUCUGAUCGCGCGUACGCGGAUCACCAACGUGGCCCGUCCUCGGGUCGACGUGGUCUUGUCACGUGGCAGGUCCUGGUUGGCCAGGACUGCUGACUGGGCCUGC
rnacentral:lncRNA from 1 species